ACUGCUAAUACCGCAUAAGCGCACAGCUUCGCAUGAAGCAGUGUGAAAAACUCCGGUGGUACAAGAUGGACCCGCGUCUGAUUAGCUGGUUGGUGAGGUAACGGCCCACCAAGGCAACGAUCAGUAGCCGGCCUGAGAGGGUGAACGGCCACAUUGGGACUGAGACACGGCCCAAACUCCUACGGGAGGCAGCAUG
rnacentral:rRNA from 1 species